GACGAACGCUGGCGGCGUGCUUAACACAUGCAAGUCGAACGGUAAGGCCCUUCGGGGUACACGAGUGGCGAACGGGUGAGUAACACGUGGGUGAUCUGCCCUGCACUUCGGGAUAAGCCUGGGAAACUGGGUCUAAUACCGGAUAGGACCACUGCCUGCAUGGGUGGUGGUGGAAAGCUUUUGCGGUGUGGGAUGGGCCCGCGGCCUAUCAGCUUGUUGGUGGGGUGAUGGCCUACCAAGGCGACGACGGGUAGCCGGCCUGAGAGGGUGACCGGACACACUGGGACUGAGAUACGGCACAGACUCCUACGGGAGGCAGCAGUGGGGAAUAUUGCACAAUGGGCGCGAGCCUGAUGCAGCGACGCCGCGUGGGGGAUGACGGCCUUCGGGUUGUAAACCUCUUUCAGCACCGACGAAGCGCAAGUGACGGUAGGUGCAGAAGAAGGACCGGCCAACUACGUGCCAGCAGCCGCGGUAA
rnacentral:rRNA from 1 species